GAUGAACGCUGGCGGCGUGCCUAACACAUGCAAGUCGAACGGAGCUGCUUUGAUGAAGUUUUCGGAUGGAUUUAAAACAGCUUAGUGGCGGACGGGUGAGUAACGCGUGGGUAACCUGCCUCACACUGGGGGAUAACAGUUAGAAAUAGCUGCUAAUACCGCAUAAGCGCACAGUUCCGCAUGGAACAGUGUGAAAAACUCCGGUGGUGUGAGAUGGACCCGCGUCUGAUUAGCCAGUUGGCGGGGUAACGGCCCACCAAAGCGACGAUCAGUAGCCGGACUGAGAGGUUGAACGGCCACAUUGGGACUGAGAUACGGCCCAGACUCCUACGGGAGCAGCAGUGGGGAAUAUUGGGGCAAUGGGGAAACCUGAUGCAGCGACGCCGCGUGAGUGAUGAAGUAUUCGGUAUGUAAACUUCUAUCAGCAGGGAAGAAAUGACGGUACCUGACU
rnacentral:rRNA from 1 species